ACUAGAAAUAUCAUAAGAGAAGAAAGCUGCCCUUCUUUUAACCUAGGUCACCAGGUAAUAGCUGGGAUUUCGGAUUAGAAAGCUAUGUCUCGAGAACGCCUUCCUUCUAACUAAGGCAAUUGGUCUCUCACGUUGGAUAUAGAUAGGCCGACGUUGCCAAUGCAAGUUAAGCGCGUAAACGCACAAUCAACGGAAGGCUUCCUUGAAACCACCUUUCCUUCGUUCACUCCUGACCUGACAGAAGCUAUGAAACCAUCCAUAGGGCAGGGGUGACUAAGCUCGCGAAUCGAAUGGUUAAAAAGCCGACUCUGUAUACUGACUGCAUUGCUCCCUCUUGACAGCUUGCUUCUGUUAGAGCUAUUGUGUCACUGUCUUUCCCUACUUUCUCUGUCGAUACCGAACACG
rnacentral:misc_RNA from 1 species